CUCAAAAGAAGAACACACACACCUGACCAGAGUGAGUGUGAACACAGCAACCAGGCUAAAUUAGCUGGUCUCUCCUCGGCCACAGCGAAAGAGCAGCAGACUGGCUUGGCUAGAGUGGUAAAAAGAGUCUUGCUGUGGAAGGAAACCCCAACCUUAAAAUUACUCGUAUUUACUUUCCAGUCUUCCUUUCUCCGCACCGCACCCCACUCCUCUUUCCUAGAAAUUCAAGAGAGCAGAGGAGGAAGCCAGAGGGGAUCCAUGGCGAUGGCGUCGCCGCGUCUCCUGCGGGGCCUCAUCGCGCCGCUGUCUCCGGCCGAUUGGCUCCCCUGCCACCAGCUGCUCGCCUCCGCCUCCCUCCUGCAGCAGUGGCUCCCCUGGCUCGCCCUCCCGCGCCUCCGCUCCCCUUCCUGCUCCGACGGCUUCAAGCUCCUCCUCGUCCUGCUCCUCGUCUCCGCCGCGCUCGCCGAGGUCCGCUUCGUCGCCUCCUCCUCCAUGGCCCCCACCAUCCGCCAGGGCGACCGCGCCGUCGCCGAAAAGGUUACCUACUUUUUCCGGAGGCCGUCUGUUGGCGACAUAGUCUUCUUCAGAGUUCCCACGGCCUUGCAGAACUGCGGUAUAAAUAAAGAUGUGGUAUUCAUUAAGAGGGUGCUUGCAACCCCCGGAGAUUUCAUCGAGGUCCGACAAGGCCAGCUUAUUGUUAAUGGUGUUGCACAAAACGAACAUUACACCGCAGCCCAUGGAUCGGACACAAUGGAAGCCAUGGUCCACAGAUAGAUAUACCCAAAAGUUGCUAAGGGUUAACGCAAAUGACUAUUGCAAGAAGAUGACCAAAAGUGGCAUGGCUGCUCCGUGUUGUUGACUUCUUGAGUGCCUCGUUCUUAUCCAACGGGCCUCGGAUGCGCCUCCCUGAAGGCCAUGUAUUCGUCAUGGGUGACAACCGUAAUAACAGCUGUGAUUCUCGUGCCUGGGGACCUCUUCCUAUUGGCAACAUUGUUGGGAGAUACAUGAUGUCCUUUACAAAAUCCUCUUUCCAAUAGCCAAGGUGAAGACUGAAGAGAUUUGACCGACUCCCAGCAUUGCCGAACGUACCCUAGAUGAUGCCAUUCAGUGUGGUGAUAUCGAGCUAUGUUGGGCUUCGAGCCCUUUUUCAAUGUGUUGUAGCAUUGUAUGUGUAUGGUACCUAAUCCUGGGGGGAACUAUGGUGACAUCUGUCUCUGUUGUCACUCACCCCGGUUGUCAGGUGUUGAACUUGUUGGUAGAACCUGCAAAAUGUACCUAAAGGUUACACGUUAUAGUAACCUUUGCUGUCGAAUAUUAUUGGUAAUGUUUAUUGUGCCUGGAAUGCAGCUUGAAUGCACUAUA